rnacentral:rRNA from 1 species
ACAGGCUUAACACAUGCAAGUCGAGGGGCAGCAUGGUCUUAGCUUGCUAAGGCCGAUGGCGACCGGCGCACGGGUGAGUAACGCGUAUCCAACCUGCCUUACACUCUUGGACAGCCUUCUGAAAGGGAGAUUAAUACAAGAUGUUAUCAUGAGUAAGCAUUUUCGCAUGAUUAAAGGUUUACCGGUGUAAGAUGGGGAUGCGUUCCAUUAGAUAGUAGGCGGGGUAACGGCCCACCUAGUCUUCGAUGGAUAGGGGUUCUGAGAGGAAGGUCCCCCACAUUGGAACUGAGACACGGUCCAAACUCCUACGGGAGGCAGCAGUGAGGAAUAUUGGUCAAUGGACGAGAGUCUGAACCAGCCAAGUAGCGUGAAGGAUGAAGGUUCUAUGGAUUGUAAACUUCUUUUAUACGGGAAUAAACGAAUCCACGUGUGGAUUUUUGCAUGUACCGUAUGAAUAAGGAUCGGCUAACUCCGUGCCAGCAGCCGCGGUAAUACGGAGGAUCCGAGCGUUAUCCGGAUUUAUUGGGUUUAAAGGGAGCGUAGAUGGGUUGUUAAGUCAGUUGUGAAAGUUUGCGGCUCAACCGUAAAAUUGCAAUUGAUACUGGCAGUCUUGAGUACAGUUGAGGUAGGCGGAAUUCGUGGUGUAGCGGUGAAAUGCUUAGAUAUCACGAAGAACUCCGAUUGCGAAGGCAGCUUACUAACCUGUAACUGACAUUGAUGCUCGAAAGUGUGGGUAUCAAACAGGAUUAGAUACCCUGGUAGUCCACACGGUAAACGAUGAAUACUCGCUGUAGGCGAUAUACAGUCUGCGGCCAAGCGAAAGCAUUAAGUAUUCUACCUGGGGAGUACGCCGGCAACGGUGAAACUCAAAGGAAUUGACGGGGGCCCGCACAAGCGGAGGAACAUGUGGUUUAAUUCGAUGAUACGCGAGGAACCUUACCCGGGCUUAAAUUGCAACCGAAUAUGGCGGAAACGCUAUAGCUAGCAAUAGCGGUUGUGAAGGUGCUGCAUGGUUGUCGUCAGCUCGUGCCGUGAGGUGUCGGCUUAAGUGCCAUAACGAGCGCAACCCUUGCCGAUAGUUACUAACAGGUCAUGCUGAGGACUCUGUCGGGACUGCCAUCGUAAGAUGUGAGGAAGGUGGGGAUGACGUCAAAUCAGCACGGCCCUUACGUCCGGGGCUACACACGUGUUACAAUGGGGGGUACAGAGGGCUGCUACCACGCAAGUGGAUGCCAAUCCCAAAAACCUCUCUCAGUUCGGAUUGAAGUCUGCAACCCGACUUCAUGAAGCUGGAUUCGCUAGUAAUCGCGCAUCAGCCACGGCGCGGUGAAUACGUUCCCGGGCCUUGUACACACCGCCCGUCAAGCCAUGGGAGCCGGGGGUACCUGAAGUGCGUAAGCGCAAGGAGCGCCCUAGGGUAAAACUGGUGACUG